UUGAAAAAAUAACUUGUUUAUUUCAUUUAAAAAAUACAGAUUUUAAACUUUAAAUGACGAUAUAUACACGGAAACAAACUAAUUCUGUUUCAAUUUUUACACCGAUGUAAAGUUCAGUUUUAUAACUACUUUGUGUUGUAAAUUCAAGUAUUUCUGAUUUACGGUCGCGAAGCCGUACCCCCAAUAAACAUAUAACCCUCGAGUCGACUUUCAGCCCCGAGUAAGUUGCUCGCCGAACGGUUUUAAAGGUUGACGACCGAUGAUGCUAAACGGAUUUUACCCUUGCUAGAGCCUUCAAACAAGUUCUGGAGACAUUUACGGUGGCCUAUCCAGAACUUUCCUUACAAGGGAAGGGAAGAAGGCCAAGACCCCACUCCCCCCUACAAUUCCCAAAACAUAUUACUUACUCUUGAUGCUCCACAAGAUCAAGGUUGAGGGAAACAAGACGUACAAAGAUGUUCCCCCAAAACUGUUCCCCCAAAGCAGUUAUCAGGUUUGAAAAGAAACCAAAGCAUGUGGCAUCAACUGCUGCAUCACUUGUAGGCAUCACGUCUUUAUUAAACUACAUUACAUUACAUUUACUCUACUAAAUUUUGAUUCUGUUUCUCCUGCACUAGAUAACUGUGGUAUUUUUUAAAAUAAUAUUUUAACUCAUGUGAUUUUUGAAAAUAAUUAACACAUUUUUCCACGUCGAUGUUACCAACACAAUAAUUUUAGA